CCUAUGACAGAACUGUGGGGACACGUAAGGAAAGCGGAAGCCGGGAAUGGAAAGCCCGGUGCAAGCGGGGUACCAGUCACUUUGGCAAAUCCGGGUGGCAAUGGGAAGCCGUGAUGCGGAGCGAAAUAAAGUAGUGAAGUCCGUGAGCCAUGCGUCAAGAAAAGCCGCUAUCGUUUAUACCGUACCCGUACCGUAAACCGACACAGGUGGAUGAGGAGAGAAUCCUAAGGCCGGCGGAAGAAGCAUUGUCAAGGAACUCGGCAAAAUGGCCCCGUAACUUAGGGAUAAGGGGUGCCUGGGAAACCAGGCCGCAGAGAAUAGGCUCAAGCAACUGUUUAGCAAAAACACAGGUCUAUGCGAAACCGAAAGGUGAGGUAUAUGGGCUGACGCCUGCCCGGUGCUGGAAGGUUAAGAGGAGAGGUUAGCGGUAACGCGAAGCUUUGAAUUUAAGCCCCAGUAAACGGCGGCCGUAACGAUAACGGUCCUAAGGUAGCGAAAUUCCUUGUCGGGUAAGUUCCGACCCGCACGAAAGGCGUAAUGAUUUGAGCGCUGUCUCGACAAUGCAUCCGGUGAAAUUGAAGUACCAGUGAAGAUGCUGGUUACCUGCGCCAGGACGGAAAGACCCCAUGGAGCUUUACUCCAGUCUGGUACUGGGACUCGGUAUUGCAUGUACAGGAUAGGUGGGAGGCUAGGAGAUGGUAACGCCAGUUGCCAUGGAGCCGCUGUUGGGAUACCACCCUUGCAGUAUUGGGUUUCUAACCAGCCGCCGUGACCCGGCGGUGGGACAAUGCCAGACGGGGAGUUUGACUGGGGCGGUCGCCUCCGAAAGGGUAUCGGAGGCGCCCAAAGGUUCCCUCAGAAUGGACGGAAACCAUUCGAAGAGUGCAAAGGCAGAAGGGAGCUUGACUGCGACACCGACGGGUGGAGCAGGUACGAAAGUAGGGCUUAGUGAUCCGGUGGUAUUAAGUGGGAAUGCCAUCGCUCAACGGAUAAAAGCUACCCUGGGAUAACAGGCUUAUCACUCCCAAGAGUUCACAUCGACGGAGUGGUUUGGCACCUCGAUGUCGGCUCAUCGCAUCCUGGGGCUGUAGUAGGUCCCAAGGGUUGGGCUGUUCGCCCAUUAAAGCGGUACGCGAGCUGGGUUCAGAACGUCGUGAGACAGUUCGGUCCCUAUCCGGCGUGGGCGUAGGAUAUCUGAGAGGAGCUGUCCUUAGUACGAGAGGACCGGGAUGGACGGGCCGCUGGUGCAUCGGUUAGACUGCCAAGUCUACGGCCGAGUAGCCAAGCCCGGAAGGGAUAAACGCUGAAGGCAUCUAAGCGUGAAGCCCCCCUUAAGAUGAGAUAUCCCAUUCGAAAGAAGUAAACCCCCUUGAAGACGACGAGGUAGAUAGGGCAGAGGUGGAAGUGCAGCAAUGCAUGGAGCCGAC
rnacentral:rRNA from 1 species